rnacentral:tRNA from 1 species
GCCUCCUUAGCUCAAUUGGUCAGAGCAUCUGACUCUUAAUCAGAGGGUUCUCAGUUCGAGUCUGAGAGGAGGCA